rnacentral:rRNA from 1 species
CGCAAUGGGCGAAAGCCUGACGGAGCAACGCCGCGUGAGUGAUGAAGGUCUUCGGAUCGUAAAACUCUGUUAUUAGGGAAGAACAUAUGUGUAAGUAACUGUGCACAUCUUGACGGUACCUAAUCAGAAAGCCACGGCUAACUACGUGCCAGCAGCCGCGGUAAUACGUAGGUGGCAAGCGUUAUCCGGAAUUAUUGGGCGUAAAGCGCGCGUAGGCGGUUUUUUAAGUCUGAUGUGAAAGCCCACGGCUCAACCGUGGAGGGUCAUUGGAAACUGGAAAACUUGAGUGCAGAAGAGGAAAGUGGAAUUCCAUGUGUAGCGGUGAAAUGCGCAGAGAUAUGGAGGAACACCAGUGGCGAAGGCGACUUUCUGGUCUGUAACUGACGCUGAUGUGCGAAAGCGUGGGGAUCAAACAGGAUUAGAUACCCUGG